rnacentral:tRNA from 1 species
GCGGGAAACGAGGCGCGAACUCGCGACCUCAACCUUGCCAAGGUUGAGGUCGCGAGUUCGAGCCUCGUUUCCCGCUCCA